AUUUAUAUAGUUUAAAUUAAAACAUUACAUUUUCACUGUAAAAAUAAAUUUUUUUUAUAAAUA
rnacentral:tRNA from 1 species